rnacentral:rRNA from 1 species
UGGGGAAUUUUGGACAAUGGGGGAAACCCUGAUCCAGCCAUCCCGCGUGUGCGAUGAAGGCCUUCGGGUUGUAAAGCACUUUUGGCAGGAAAGAAACGUCGUGGGUUAAUACCCCGCAAACUGACGGUACCUGCAGAAUAAGCACCGGCUAACUACGUGCCAGCAGCCGCGGUAAUACGUAGGGUGCAAGCGUUAAUCGGAAUUACUGGGCGUAAAGCGUGCGCAGGCGGUCGGAAAGAAAGAUGUGAAAUCCCNNAGCUUAAACUUUGGAACUGCAUUUUUAAACUACCGGGCUAGAGUGUGUCAGAGGGAGGUGGAAUUCCGCGUGUAGCAGUGAAAUGCGUAGNUAUGCGGAGGAACACCGAUGGCGAAGGCAGCCUCCUGGGAUAACNCUGACGCUCAUGCACGAAAGCGUGGGGAGCAAACAGGAUUAGAUACCCUGGUAGUCCACGCCCUAAACGAUGUCAACUAG